UACGUAGGGUGCAAGCGUUGUCCGGAAUUAUUGGGCGUAAAGGGCUCGUAGGCGGUUUGUCGCGUCGGGAGUGAAAACCUUGGGCUUAACUCAGGGCUUGCUUUCGAUACGGGCAGGCUAGAGUUCGGUAGGGGAGACUGGAAUUCCUGGUGUAGCGGUGAAAUGCGCAGAUAUCAGGAGGAACACCGGUGGCGAAGGCGGGUCUCUGGGCCGAUACUGACGCUGAGGAGCGAAAGCGUGGGGAGCGAACAGG
rnacentral:rRNA from 1 species